UUGUGUCCCUACAAGGUUAGUUGUACAAGUCUGUGUUUUUGUGUGUGUGUGAGACAGGUGUUCCCGUACAGUGGGAUGUGAGUCAGGAAUGAGGAAUCCACCAGUGAGGGUUCAUUUAUUUUGGCGGGAAACCGAGAGUUACCUUCAACACACACACACACACCACAGGCCACACACCACGCAUACUCCACGAGAAAGGACCACAGGCAACUUCCUAGCAUUCUCCACUGCAUUCCGUGUGUGUGUGUGUGUGUGUGUGUGUGUGUGUGUGUGAUGGCAUGUAAACGUAGUGUCUCCAUGUGUUUCCAUUCCAGUGAAAUGGUGUUUAACAUCUAGUUUGGGCAGAUAUCUCUCUCUCACCAUGAUUACAACCUUUUGAAGGCCAGCAAAAUGUUUUUUUUUUCAUGAAACAUCGGUUUAAUCCUUUCAACAAGUUGUUUUUGAUUGUAGUCUGAGGAUUCCUUUGCCCCUUCUACCCUCCAAGGUUUCCAACACAAUGGCAGCCCGUCAUAACCACAACCACAAUAACACAAUCCCAACACAACAGUCACACUAACCAUUACAAAUGUGAAUCAUGGCAGUCAGAGGAUGUUUUCACUCGGAAACAGUACCGACUGCUGUGUGUUAGAAGAACUGCAACAGAGGAAGACAACCAAUCUAUAUACAGAAAGGAGUAAAGGGAGAAUCUUAGAGAGUGUUUUGGAGAGUGGCAGAGAAAGAAGGAAUUGGAGAGAAAAGAGGAUGAGGGGGAGAGGAAGAGAGAGAGUGAGGCUCACUGCCUGUUGACUCACUGAGCAGGAAUGACUUGACUGGUCAUGAUCUGUAUGACUGAGCAGUGCGCAAGCUCUCUCUUUCUCACACACGCUCUCUCUCUCUCGCACUCUCUCACCACAGACACACUCACCCGCUGAGUGGAGAGCUCCAGGACAGGCUGCUCUCGCAGCACAGCCUCAGGGACUUAGAGGUACUCUGCUGGGGAAGAGAGACAGGCAGGGACCCCCCCCCCCCUGGAGCUCACUGGAACUUACUCUGUUUUUCUCUCCCUCUCUUUUUGUCUGUUCCCUCUCACUCAGUCUCUCUCCCCUUUCUCUCCCAUUAUCUCUCUAUUUCUACUCUCUCCUUCCGUCUCUUUCCCUCUCUCUCCUUCCGUCUCUUUCCCUCUCUCCUCUCCUUCUCAGGACGGACACAGGAUGUGAAGAGAGCAGGUGGCUGACAGUCUCACAGCAACAGUAGGUUACUUUUUCUAUUUUCAUUUUUUCAUGUUUAUAAUAUAUUACAGGGAGUUUGUUAGUGUGUUUUCGUUCCAAGGACUUGGAGUCAUAUUGGAACACAUCACUGCAAGUCUGGACAGAUUCAGAGGAGAUUCAGAUCAUGAUCUUAAUAAGUGGAAUGCCGUGAUUAUUCUCAGAACUCAUUGUUCACCUACUGCCAGAGCUUUAGGCGACCCUUUGGCUAGGUUAGUGAUGAUAUGGUGCAGCUCUGUGCUUAGUCAUUAGUAGGGAUCUAUGAUGUAGUCUGUCUGUUCGCUGUAAUGACUGAGGUCAUUUAUCUCCAUUAUAUCUCCUCCUCCUCUGAUUGCUGUGGAAUACGAGAGGCUAGAGAGGGAGUUAACCUACCUACUGUACGGUUGUGAACGGGUCAACUCAGUUAGGAGCCCAUAUCAAUUAGAAAGGGACUCCAAGGGACAUUAGAAUGGACAAGACUUUCCAAGGCGUGUUUGAAUCAGAUUUAUUGUGCAACAUUCCGGUUUCUGAGACCAAUCUUACAGAGACACACACACACCUACACCUGAGGUAACUAUAGCUGUUGACUCAGCUGGUUUUGUGUUUCUGUGAGGCUCCUCCUCACACCUCCGUAUGUGCUUGGAAUCAGCGUGUGAAUGGCUGGGAGGGGUGGGUGUGGCACGCACCACUGUACCUUGACCUAACACCCGCAAUGCCCACACACUCGUAAACCUGUAUCUUCACAAGCACACUCUUACAUACAAGGUAAGGGCAUGGCAAAGUUUGUGAUUUAUACUGGACUAAUUCAGCUAGGGGCUCCUUCCUUCUCCCUAUCCUUCGGAUGAUAGGUGAACACACCUGGUUGGUCCUACUGUGUGUGUGUCUGCUGUAAUAGAAAGGCCUCAUUCUGUCAGUAUGGCUGAUUCACUGUAGGGGGGAGGCCGGGGGAGCUUAAAACCUGCUCGUCUCUCAGGUGACACACACAUAUAUAUACACACACACACACACACACACACACACUUAUCUCUGCUGGUCAGACUUAGCAGUGUGUUUGUGGCCAUAGAUCAUGUCCCUCUAAUUGAAAAUGAAGCUCCUGUUCUCAUGGCUCUGGAUGUAUGGGGACUGGAGUUGUCUUUGUGCCUCACUAGAGUGGCCCAGAUUCAGUCAGGUCAGCUUGGGUCUCCACUUCAGGGUUAGUAGACAGGUCAGGGUCAAUGGCAUGGUUGUGUUUGUGUGUGUGUGUGUGUGUGUGUGUGUGUGUGUGUGUGUGUGUGUGUGUGUGUGUGUGUGUGUGAAAGAAAGAAAGAAAGAAAGAAAGAAAGAAAGAAAGAAAGAAAGAAAGAAAGAAAGAAAGAAAGAAAGAAAGAAAGAAAGAAAGAAAGAAAAAGUUGGAUACCACUGAGAGAGCAUGUGAACUGGGUCCGGUUUCCCACAAUGCCAAGUGUGUACAGAGAUAUGAGUCAUGGUCACUCAGGUGGAGCCCUCCUCUGUUCCUACAUCACCACAGAAACAGGCCUCUCAUUUUGUUAUCACUUACAGACUAAAUUGGGGCUACAUUGGAAUUGCCCCACUUGACCAACAAUCGCCGCCCUACUAGGGAAUAUGCUCUUUAAGGAAUAGCUAACACUUGGGAACUGAUAAGUGGGAUUGACAAUAAUCUGUGAUUAAUAUGUAGAUGUUUAAACUUCCUCUUCACUUUUUGGUUGGUAGUCUCUGCUGUUUGCUUGUCAACAGCCCUGUGGCGUGCCCAAGCCUGUGGCUAUUCCCAUUUCUCCUGGUAUUCCCAGUUCUCCUCCUGGCUUGGCUGGGCUCCUCUCCAGCUUCCUGUAGUGGAGUGUUUGGCAUCACACCGUGCCCAGGAACACACAUUGCAGCCAUGCCUGUGGGCAUGAAGUGUGCGUGUGGGAGAGAGAGAGGGAGAGAGAGGGAGUGUCAGGGGAGGUAGAGUAAAGGUACUGUCUCUCUCAAACACACACACACACACACACACACACACACACACACACUACUUAGCAGUGCCACACUUUCUCACAUGGUUGUGGGCUUCCUUUUCUUUACUAGUUUUUGUUGACCGCUGAGAUAGACAUACCCUCUGUGUUUGGUAGACCUGGAGUCAGAGGAGAGGACAGGAGAGGGGCCAGACUCACCCAGGUGGACAGAGGUAGGAGUGGACGGAAGGGGACACCCAUGGAGGAAGGUCACUCUGAUAUUUCCCACUACUGACCCCCUUGUCUUGCAUAGCCAGACAUCGUAUUCUUGCAAUCGCAAAAAUCAAAGCUAGUGACACGUUGAUGACUCGGCUGGUAUUCUUGUGCUUUCUCAGGAAAUGGGAGGCUGUGGAGGAUAUGACAAACAGCCCUCAUUCAGUCAGCAGACUAACUGGACAGCUCUACUGUACGCCACAGGGGACAGACCCUUGGCAGGCAGAGAGGUCGCUGAGCUCUGAGAACAACAGUUAGUUGGGUGGGUGAGUAACAUUGUAACAUUCAUGUUUGUUGGGUGAGUUCUAGAAUAGAAGACGAGUAGACUGGUUAGAUGUUGUUACAUAUUUCUUACAGUCAUUUAUUGUUGAUAGAUAAUGAUUGCUGUAAUGAAUUGUGCAUACAAAAUUGUAUAAUUGUCCUAUACUGUCUAAUAUUGUAAUGUGUUAUGUUUUCUUUAUGUUGACGUGACGAGAAUAGUAUCUAAAGAUAUGAUAGUAUUCUUAUAAUGUUGCUGCAGAUCUUCUUCACAGCUCUACUGUUAAGAGGCAGUGUCCAAAGUGUGGAGGAUGAUGUCACACGUCAGCUGUCCUCAUAGCUGGGCUACCAUGGCAACGACAUUCAUCAGAAUGACUUACUGCAAAAGCAAAGCACUGUCACGAUCACUUUCUGUACUGACAGAUCACUUUACGAGGAUAAUUAUUGUGUUUGUGUAAGGUUAAGCAUUGAAAUGCGAUGCCAAAUGAGUGGACUGUCUUUGUAAAUCUACUUGUUAUCCAUGUCACAACUGCUGCACAGUUUCUAAAUAAGCAAAGUGUCCUCCAAAAUCUUUGCUGCUGCCACGCAACCACUGCAUCCCUAUUGUCCGGCAGGGAAAGUCUUCCCCCAGAGGCUGGUUUCACAUGGUGGUUUAGAUUAAUGUUCCCAGUGUCUAGCACCAUUUGAAAUCAGUGUUCUUGGGGACAGGAGAACAGCACUGGGCCUCUGGUAGUGUCAAUCAGUCUACUGGAGCCAAUCCUCUCUCUCUCUCUCUCUCUCCCCUUUAAAGGAUGACUGAUUUCCUCUGGUGUUUAGAGCCCCUUACAGCCUUCUAGCACCAUUUGAAAUCGGUUAUAAUGACUGGGGAUCAAUGCCUCAAUGUCUUCACGAUGUCUACAUGUCAACUCUACAGUCAAGCAGACAGGAAAUGAAUUGGAUGAAUGUUCAUAUUAUACGUGUCACAGGGUCUGCUCUACAGAUCCUGGAAUCGCAAUGAGUUGGACAGGAGCUCAAUUCCAGUGGGACAGUUUAAAAGUUUUUAUUGAAUAAAUGUUCAAUAAAACUGAAUUGAUAUUGCAACCUUA